rnacentral:rRNA from 1 species
UACGUAGGAGGCAAGCGUUGUCCGGAGUUACUGGGCGUAAAGCGCGUGUAGGUGGUGGGACAAGUCUGCUGUGAAAGCGCCUGGCUUAACCGGGCGAGGUCGGCGGAAACUGUCCGACUCGAGGACGGUAGAGGGGGGUGGAAUUCCCGGUGUAGUGGUGAAAUGCGUAGAGAUCGGGAGGAACACCUGUGGCGAAGGCGGCCCCCUGGGCCGGCCCUGACACUGAGACGCGAAGGCGUGGGGAGCGAACGGG